rnacentral:rRNA from 1 species
GAUGAACGCUGGCGGCGUGCCUAAUACAUGCAAGUCGAGCGAACAGACGAUUAUCUUUCUCCUCUUUCGUUAUCGGCUUACGGUUGAUUAACUCUUCUAUAACCUACCUAUAUUUCUUGGUUAACUUCGGGAAACCGGUUCUACUACCGGAUAAUAUAUUUAACCUCAUGGUUCAAUAGUUAAUUACGGUUUUUCUGUCUCUUAUAGAUUGAUCCGCGCCGCAUUAGCUAGUUGGUAAGGUAACGGCUUACCAAGGCAACGAUGCGUAGCCGACCUGAGAGGGGGAGCGGCCACACUGGAAGGGAGACACGGAAAAGAGGACUACGGGAGGAAGCAGUAGGGAAUAGUACGAAAUGGGGGAAAGCGUGAAGGAGCAAAGCCGAGUGAGAGAAGAAGGACGACGGAUCGUAAAAAACUGUUAUUAGGGAAGAAAAAAAGAGUAAGAAAAUAUGAAGGAAAUGACGGUAACAAAAGAGAAAGAAACGGCUAACUACGUG